UCAACACUAUGUCGUUCAUAUAAGGCCCACACUCCUUUGUGCAUUUUUUUCCAUUACUUUUGUGCUUCCGUCUUAGUAACACAUCAAAUCUAGACAUCUGAAGCCAUUCUUUUGUAUUGCACUCUAAUAUUCUUGAUAGUACGUAUGUUUGCAUUCUUAAUUUUGAGUUAUUUUUAGAGCAAUUUAUGUGUUUUUAUAUUAAAAUCAUCUUGUUUUAGUUUCCUUUGUGUCUCAGGUGUUUUUCUAGGUACAUCAUCA
rnacentral:lncRNA from 1 species